AUUGAACGCUGGCGGCAGGCCUAACACAUGCAAGUCGAACGGUAACAGGAAGCAGCUUGCUGCUUUGCUGACGAGUGGCGGACGGGUGAGUAAUGUCUGGGAAACUGCCUGAUGGAGGGGGAUAACUACUGGAAACGGUAGCUAAUACCGCAUAACGUCGCAAGACCAAAGAGGGGGACCUUCGGGCCUCUUGCCAUCGGAUGUGCCCAGAUGGGAUUAGCUAGUAGGUGGGGUAACGGCUCACCUAGGCGACGAUCCCUAGCUGGUCUGAGAGGAUGACCAGCCACACUGGAACUGAGACACGGUCCAGACUCCUACGGGAGGCAGCAGAGGGGAAUAUUGCACAAUGGGCGCAAGCCUGAUGCAGCCAUGCCGCGUGUAUGAAGAAGGCCUUCGGGUUGUAAAGUACUUUCAGCGGGGAGGAAGGGAGUAAAGUUAAUACCUUUGCUCAUUGACGUUACCCGCAGAAGAAGCACCGGCUAACUCCGUG
rnacentral:rRNA from 1 species